UCCCAUGACAACCGACGUCGGUUCCUUGAGGUGCGUGUAGAUGCUGGGGAUCAUAGAGUGGCUGGAAGUCAGAAUUUUGUGUUGCUAUUGCUUUUGCUAUGAGUCUUUUGCCGAGGCCUUUCGGUCUGUGAGCGGAUUGGGACUGGUGAGGAAAACCGUGUUAAACUGGAGGGUGCUCGACCGCGUAGCCAGAGCGAGGGGCGUUUCUGCCUAACGGAUGCCCUUGGUAGAGCCUUACCAAGUGGUGCGUUUGACUCUACUCAUUUGCGAGCUGGAGGAAAUGACUCUAUUUAUGCGUCCUUGCCUAUAGCCAGGGGAUAAUUCUUUCCUACCUUGCAGAUUGUUAUGAGGAUUAAAGUAAAUUCUCUUGGUUAACAAGAUUAUCAUGGCGCUGGUACCUAGAGAGAUAUUGUGUGAAAACUCAAGCCCAGAGAAGUUACAUUCAUAUAUUUAAAGAGAGAGAGAGAGAGAGAGAGAGAGAGAGAGAGAGAAAGAAAAGAAAAGAAAACCACGGGGCUUUUCCACCGCGGAAGGUGGACGGGUUCCGGACCCCUCAGAACCUUUGCAAAAUGAGGGUUAUAUGCACUAAAAUGGCUGCUUUUCAAGUCCAGGGAUCAAGUAAAGUUAUAAAUAUGCUCCCCUCACUUGCUGCCUCAGUGUUUCUGUCAUAACCUUUAUAAAGUUCCUCUAGGAGAGUACUUUGUCUUCUCAACUCCUUCUGUAUGUGACACUGUCCAUUUCUAUGAGGACAUAUUUCUCACCUACUUAGAUAGCACUCUAUAAAUUAUGAAAUAGGCUGGUUGUAUAGUGCCUCUUAGAAUACCACUCUGCCACCUACCAGCUGUGGAAUCUUGGUCUAAUUAGUUACCUUUGCUGAGCCUCAGUUUUCUCAUCUAGGAAUUGAGGGAAAUAAGAAUUGAUUUUCUACCUUAUGAGGUUAUUAUAAGAUUUUAAUAACAUCUGUGAUUGAAACAGUUCCUAGAGUGUUGCAUGAAAUAUAUAAGGGUUUUAUUUACUACCAUUACUACUAUUAUGUGACCAGGCUGUCACUGCUCUGUAGUAACCCUAAAUAUUCUUGGUUAGAGUUGUGUAUUUGUCAGGUGUGGGUAAAUUCCUGUAGAACAGGCUCUCAGGGUUUACCCUGAGGAUCAGGGCAGGAGGAUCAAGAAGUUAAGAUGAGCUUGGGCUACAUAGCAAGAUCUGGUUCC
rnacentral:lncRNA from 1 species